rnacentral:rRNA from 1 species
GAGAAGUUGAUCCUGGCUCAGAACGAACGCUGGCGGCAGGCCUAACACAUGCAAGUCGAGCGCAAUCCUUCGGGAUCGAGCGGCGGGGGUUAGUAACGCGUGGGAAUGUACCCUUCUCUACGGAAUAGCCUCGGGAACCUGAGAGUAAUACCGUAUACGCCCUUUUGGGGAAAGAUUUAUCGGAGAAGGAUCAGCCCGCGUAAGAUUAGAUAGUUGGUGGGGUAAUGGCCUACCAAGUCUACGUUCAGUAGCUGGUCUGAGAGGAUGAUCAGCCACACUGGGACUGAGACACGGCCCAGACUCCUACGGGAGGCAGCAGUGGGGAAUAUUGGACAAUGGGCGAAAGCCUGAUCCAGCCAUGCCGCGUGUGUGAAGAAGGCCCUAGGGUUGUAAAGCACUUUCAGUAGGGAGGAAAAGUUAGUCGUUAAUAACGGCUAGCCGUGACGUUACCUACAGAAGAAGCACCGGCAAACUCCGUGCCAGCAGCCGCGGUAAUGCGGAGGGUGCGAGCGUCAAGCGGAAUUACUUCGCGUAAAGCGCGCGUAGGCGGCCUGAUUAGUUGGAUGUGAAAGCCCUGGGCUCAACCUAGGAACUGCAUUCAAAACUGUCAGGCUAGAGUAUGGUAGAGGAUAGUGGAAUUUCCUGUGUAGCGGUGAAAUGCGUAGAGAUGGGAAGGAACAUCAGUGGCGAAGGCGACUUACUGGACCAAUACUGACACUGAGGUACGAAAGCGUGGGUAGCAAACAGGAUUAGAUACCCUGGUAGUCCACGCCGUAAACGAUGUCUACUAGCCGUUGGGAUCCUUGAGGUCUUAGUGGCGCAGCUAACGCAUUAAGUAGACCGCCUGGGGAGUACGGUCGCAAGAUUAAAACUCAAAUGAAUUGACGGGGGCCCGCACAAGCGGUGGAGCAUGUGGUUUAAUUCGAAGCAACGCGAAGAACCUUACCAGGUCUUGACAUCCUGAAAACUUUCUAGAGAUAGAUUGGCGCCUUCGGGAACGCUAACACAGGUGCUGCAUGGCUGUCGUCAGCUCGUGUCGUGAGAUGUUGGGUUAAGUCCCGUAACGAGCGCAACCCUUGUCCUUAGUUGCCAGCACGUAAUGGUGGGAACUCUAAGGAGGCUGCCGGUGACAAACCGGAGGAAGGUGGGGAUGACGUCAAGUCAUCAUCGCCCUUAUGGGCUGGGCUACACACGUGCUACAAUGGCCGGUACAGAGGGCAUCAAACUCGCGAGGGUAAGCAAAUCUCAGAAAACCGGUCGUAGUCCGGAUCGCAGUCUGCAACUCGACUGCGUGAAGUCGGAAUCGCUAGUAAUCGCGGAUCAGAAUGCCGCGGUGAAUACGUUCCCGGGCCUUGUACACACCGCCCGUCACACCAUGGGAGUGGGUUGCACCAGAAGUAGUUAGCCUAACCGCAAGGAGGGCGAUUACCACGGCAGGGUUCGUGACUGGGGUGAAGUCGUAACAAGGUAGCCGUAG